CUCUGUAAAGGAUGCAGCCAAGUCGUGCUGUGCCUGGGCCAGGCGGGGGUGGGCAGACACUCAAGUAUUUUGGUCCCAAAGGCUAUCUCUUGAGCUUCUGCUUGCUUCUUGACAACAAACAAGCCCUAGUUAAAUUCAUUAAUUAUGGGGGAUACGAAAGAGUGCUUCAUCCACCCAUCAGCAUCUGGACCCAGGAUCCCCACCCAGGAAAGAUGGGUGGGGAAAGUACCUAAGGUCACAUCGAAGGGGAUGAUCUGAAUCCUGUCCUGCAACCGAAGCCUGGAGAGAUAGGAAGGUAAAGAAAUCUGCACCCGUCAUCAGAAACCAACCUUCGAUGGAUGGAGAGAACGCAAGCACCAUGGUCCCUCCCCUGCACUAAUUCUUCCCACUCCCCACCACAGGCCACGUCCUCUCAAGUUCUUGAGACAAGGGUUCAAACUAGCCUUUACUGAACACCUGCUAGAUGCCACUCUUCAGAGACAGAGAGGAAAAUGAGACUCCGAGACGGGAAGCAACUUGCCCAAAGUCACCCAUCUAGGAACUCUCCCAGUCAAGACACAAGUCCUUCGGACUCCAGAGGCAGCUCUGUCUACCAGAGCGCCCAGGGAGGAGCCGAGGCCUUAAGUCAGGGGCGCAGCUUCCCUCUCAGUUUUGCACCGCGAGGUCGGCUCUCCCCAAGCCUGUUUCUCCAUCUGUACAACGGGGGCACAGACUUUUUAAGGAAGGCUGCCAGAGCUCUGACGAACUCGAGGUCUCGAGGGUGUUA